GGAUGGCAGAACCAGUUAGCUUCAAAGUUCUUUUUGGAGGUGACGACGAUGCAAGAAAACUAAUCAUUCAAUCUGGAAUGCCGACAUCUGUGUAUUAAUUGGCUCUUGAAAUUAAGACUUUCUUUGGUGUGACAGAGCAGUUCAGGCUUCAAUACAAAGAUGUAGACUUUGGAAAUGAUUUUAUGAACCUUGUGUCAAUUUCUGACAUUCAAGAUCGAAGUACUUUGAAAGUGGUAUGCUUGCCCUGUGAGGCUACCAGCUCAGUGAUCUCCUCAGAUUCACCCACUACAAACAUCUGGUCCACAAUACCAGCGACUCCCCCCAAUGUAUCUACUAGUUCCUCAUCACAACAACCAACUGAUCCAACAUCUGUGUACUCCCAUAGCAGCAAUGAUACCAUCAUUUUGUCAUCUCCUGAGUCUCGGUCCUGCUCUUGGCCUCAAGUCUUUGUUGUGCCACGGUUUUCAUAUUGUGCUGAGAUGGUGCUCCAGAAGGGAAAUGAUGAUUUCAAUGCAAAUGGAACUCUUCUUUCUCUUACCCCGAAAGUCAGAUCUGAUAUUCUUGAAGGCCUUGUAGAAGAAAUUAUCAGGUACACAGCAUAUCCAAGAAAUUGAACAGUUUGAAGAAGUUGCUGAGGCCUUGGUAAAGACUCACCCGUGUUAGUGUGAGAAAGGAACUCGCAGUGGUUAUUGUGGAUGGAAACACUACAUUAAGAUCAAGAUGAUGAACUUCCGCACCAAGCUUGGCCGAGCUGGACACCCAGAAGUCAUUGUCAACUCACUUAAGAACAAACGGAAAGGUCAUGGGAAACCAGCUGCGAACAUAAAGAAGCCGGAAGGCAGACGUUAAUUUCUGUCCAAGCCAUCCAAGAGGUGAAACGACUGAAAGCCUAGAGGUGGAAAGGGUUGCUCUAUUGACUGAGGUAAAGAAAAAGAACAACGAGGCAGUGAUCAAGGAAAAGAUGCAGCGUACCUUCUCGUACAGACGACAAGAAAUUCUUCAGGAUUACAGAGGUCCGAAACAGAUGGCCAGCUCUGUUUGAACUAAACUGGUAAAGUCACUUUGGAGUUCAUGCGUAUAACAACUGUCCCUCUGAUACCAAAUUCAUUGGACAACUGGACAGAUACACUGAUGACCUGAUUAAGGUUUUCCGUGCCAAAGGAGGAUCUGCAGGACAGAAAAUUUGUGCCAUAAUGGCAUUGACAGCUAAGUGGCAUGUUGUUGGCGUUUACCAGUUGUUGGUUCUGGGAGCAUGGGUGCAGCGACCGUGGAUGCCUGGGUCCCCCUGCCAAGCAGGGUGAGCGGUUGAAGAUCACCAGCUACUGGACCUCGGGCCGUAAGCUUGGCCCCACUGGUGACCGUGGAAGCCCCACUCAGGUGCAGGAGAUGUUGAUGCUCACCGGUUGCUGGACCUGGGAUGGAGGACAUAGCUCCGCUGGCAGCCAUGGUUAUUGAUGGCUCACUGGAGCAUA